GACGAACGCUGGCGGCGUGCUUAACACAUGCAAGUCGAACGGAAAGGCCCUGCUUUUGUGGGGUGCACGAGUGGCGAACGGGUGAGUAACACGUGAGUAACCUGCCCUUGACUUUGGGAUAACUUCAGGAAACUGGGGCUAAUACCGGAUAGGAGCUCCUGCUGCAUGGUGGGGGUUGGAAAGUUUCGGCGGUUGGGGAUGGACUCGCGGCUUAUCAGCUUGUUGGUGGGGUAGUGGCCUACCAAGGCUUUGACGGGUAGCCGGCCUGAGAGGGUGACCGGCCACAUUGGGACUGAGAUACGGCCCAGACUCCUACGGGAGGCAGCAGUGGGGAAUAUUGCACAAUGGGCGGAAGCCUGAUGCAGCAACGCCGCGUGCGGGAUGACGGCCUUCGGGUUGUAAACCGCUUUCGCCUGUGACGAAGCGUGAGUGACGGUAAUGGGUAAAGAAGCACCGGCUAACUACGUG
rnacentral:rRNA from 1 species